UACCCCAACAACAAGCAAAGCGACACCUUGUUAUUGGUGUAGUUCUUACAUCAGUCAGGGGCACAGCAGAUGGCAGUCCUUCGUUUAUCCUAGCUUGAUGCUUGGCUUGGCGACCAAAGCUGUUUUCUGCCUAAGACACAUAA